AACCCUAAUUCCCUUCAUUUUUUUCUCCCUGCGGCUGCUUCUUUUUCUCUCUGCGAAAAAAUGGUGAAAGCUAAACCUUUGAAUCCAUCAUAUCUUCUACAACUCAUCUCUUGUUGUCAAUAGAAGAAUCCCUUUGGUCUAAAUUCGUUAAACUCUAAUUUACUAUUGAUAAUAAUGAGACAGAGGGUGAAGAACUUGAAAGCACAGACUCACGACAGUUCACACGGCGGAACCAGCUAGAAACGAUGCCUAACCAAAAACCCUAGAUUUAGAUGGAUUUGGGCUUUUUUAUUGUAAUUUGGAUUGGGCUUGAGAUUUGAUUAGGUUUGGCCUUUUAAUUUUGUCAAUUGGGUUGUUGUUAUUGGGUUUUUGCGAUGUAAAUAUUUUUUCUUGCAAAAAGUAAACCGAACAAAAAGCCGAAUAAAUAGAAUACGAAAAAAUUCGGUUCAUCUUCGGAACAGAAUUUUUUGUCAA